CUGAGCUGCAGGCCGGGGGGGCACGCUGCCACCGCUUGGGUGGGUGUUCUGCCCGUGUCAGACCGAGAGAAGCAUCCAUACCCCAAAACAGAGCAAACAAACAGCAAAGCCUUCUCUGCACAAACUAGAGGCUUACGCAACCUCUUGGAAAAUGUUCCAAACCAGCAAAAGAUUCCUGGCACAGCUGCAGAGCUAGGUCUGCCAUCUUAUGGAGCCUGAAUGGUACUACCAAAUAACAGAAUGUGGAACUACGUGUUCAAAUCAGGAGAAUAGUUUGCAUUUUCUCCUUUUCAGUAAGACCAGCUCCUUCCCCUCAUCCAAUUCCACUCCGUCCAUGUCCCAUGUCUUACCUUAUCUUUUACCCAAAGUCUUGGAAAAGCUGACUCUUGCGAUGCUGCUGUGGCAGGGCAGUGAUGCUGGAGAGUCAAGAGGUGCUGGCCGGGUCAGAAGCAAGAUACUGCCCAUCUUGGCUGGUGUUUGUCACUAAUAUUACAUGGCUCCAGGUGUCGAGUAGCUUACCCAUGGGUUAGACUUGUU
rnacentral:lncRNA from 1 species